rnacentral:rRNA from 1 species
GCUGGCGGCAGGCCUAACACAUGCAAGUCGAGCGCCCAGCAAUGGGAGCGGCAGACGGGUGAGUAACGCGUGGGGAUGUACCCAAUGGUACGGAAUAACCCAGGGAAACUUUGGAUUAAUACCGUAUGUGCCCUUCGGGGGAAAGAUUUAUCGCCAAUGGAUGAACCCGCGUCUGAUUAGCUAGUUGGUGAGGUAAAGGCUCACCAAGGCGACGAUCAGUAGCUGGUCUGAGAGGAUGAUCAGCCACACUGGGACUGAGACACGGCCCAGACUCCUACGGGAGGCAGCAGUGGGGAAUAUUGGACAAUGGGCGCAAGCCUGAUCCAGCCAUGCCGCGUGAGUGAUGAAGGCCUUAGGGUUGUAAAGCUCUUUCGCCGGUGAAGAUAAUGACGGUAACCGGAGAAGAAGCCCCGGCUAACUUCGUGCCAGCAGCCGCGGUAAU